rnacentral:lncRNA from 1 species
CAGACAGGCUGGUAUCCCACAGGUGUUCUGUGUGGGGCUCUGGUGCCUGGAUGAGUACUGGUACUACAGUGUCUUCACGCUAUCCAUGCUGGUGGCGUUCGAGGCCUCGCUGGUGCAGCAGCAGAUGCGGAACAUGUCGGAGAUCCGGAAGAUGGGCAACAAGCCCCACAUGAUCCAGGUCUACCGAAGCCGCAAGUGGAGGCCCAUUGCCAGUGAUGAGAUCGUACCAGGGGACAUCGUCUCCAUCGGCCGCUCCCCACAGGAGAACCUGGUGCCAUGUGAUGUGCUUCUGCUGCGAGGCCGCUGCAUCGUAGACGAGGCC